rnacentral:rRNA from 1 species
UACGGAGGGUGCAAACGUUGCUCGGAAUCAUUGGGCGUAAAGCGCACGUAGGCGGACUAUCAAGUCGGAUGUGAAAUCCCUCGGCUUAACCGAGGAAGUGCAUUCGAAACUAGUAGUCUUGAGUAUGGAAGAGGGUCGCGGAAUUCCCGGUGUAGAGGUGAAAUUCGUAGAUAUCGGGAGGAACACCAGUGGCGAAGGCGGCGACCUGGGCCAAUACUGACGCUGAGGUGCGAAAGUGUGGGGAGCAAACAGG